rnacentral:rRNA from 1 species
AUUGAACGCUGGCGGCAUGCCUUACACAUGCAAGUCGAACGGUAACGCGGGGCAACCUGGCGACGAGUGGCGAACGGGUGAGUAAUAUAUCGGAACGUGCCCAGUAGUGGGGGAUAGCCCGGCGAAAGCCGGAUUAAUACCGCAUGAGACCUGAGGGUGAAAGCGGGGGAUCGCAAGACCUCGCGCUAUUGGAGCGGCCGAUAUCAGAUUAGGUAGUUGGUGGGGUAAAGGCCUACCAAGCCGACGAUCUGUAGCUGGUCUGAGAGGACGACCAGCCACACUGGGACUGAGACACGGCCCAGACUCCUACGGGAGGCAGCAGUGGGGAAUUUUGGACAAUGGGCGCAAGCCUGAUCCAGCCAUGCCGCGUGCGGGAAGAAGGCCUUCGGGUUGUAAACCGCUUUUGUCAGGGAAGAAAUCUUCUGGGUUAAUACCUCGGGAGGAGUGACGGUACCUGAAGAAUAAGCACCGGCUAACUACGUGCCAGCAGCCGCGGUAAGCAUACUCG